rnacentral:miRNA from 1 species
GAUCGUGCUGCGCAGUUUCACC